GAUGAACGCUAGCGGGAGGCUUAACACAUGCAAGUCGAGGGGCAGCAUAGGGUAGCAAUACUCUGAUGGCGACCGGCAAACGGGUGAGUAACGCGUAUGCAACCUACCCUGUACAGGGGGAUAACCCGGAGAAAUUCGGACUAAUAUCCCGUAAUAAUAUCCGGAGGCAUCUUUGGAUAUUUAAAGUUCCGACGGUACGGGAUGGGCAUGCGUAACAUUAGCUGGUUGGUAAGGUAACGGCUUACCAAGGCUAUGAUGUUUAGGGGUCCUGAGAGGGUGGUCCCCCAACUGGUACUGAGACACGGACCAGACUCCUCCGGGAGGCAGCAGUGAGGAAUAUUGGUCAAUGGGCGGAAGCCUGAACCAGCCAUGCCGCGUGCAGGAUGACGGCCCUACGGGUUGUAAACUGCUUUUCCCCGGGGCGAAUAACCCCUCGCGAGGGGGGAUGCCGGUACCGGGGAAGUAAGGAUCGGCUAACUCCGUG
rnacentral:rRNA from 1 species